GUAAUGAUUUUAUAUUAAACUAUAGCAAUAUCGAUUUAAAAUCUAUUUUGUAUAUUAUUAUACACAACUUUUUAGUAAACCAUACAAGUAUUCUGAAGAGGACUGAAGAUGCAGCGCCAUUUGGACUUUUAUGCCGGAGAAUAAAUGAACUACAAAUCAAUAUGGCCGUAGCAAACACAAUAUAUGAAUAGUGUAGAAAGAAUGACAAUUAAAUGAAGUAUAAAUAAUGCAUAUAUAUAUGUUUUUAGAAUAUUUUAAUUAACAUUCUUUCUACUCCGUAUUGUGUACAAAAAUUUUUAAAUGCUUAUCGAUAACACGAAAGUAUAGGUUAAGAACGAUGAAAUAAAAUGUAAAGUUUCACUGUUUGCUACACUGCUAAUCGAUUAAUCGUUGAUUGAAGUUAACCAAGUUUAGUUGAAGUGGCCUUAAAAAUGUGCUUUGAUUAUUGAUGUUAUUAUUAUUUAGCGAAAAGAAUAUAAUAUAGUUGGUUGGGCAAGAAAAGCAAGAGGCGGACAAAACUUUGACUGUGCCGGUUUGUUGAGAGAACACGGAUGAUCGUCUUAAGAACCAAUAGCUCAUUGCACGAGGAUAGGCUUCGGUGUGACAAUCGAUCGUCACGUUGGUACCAGCUGGUGCUCCGACCAAUUGAUUUGGUACGAAAAUCAUUGGAUGACUUUCGGUGCGAGAUAGUCUACAGUGGGAAACGAGUUGGAAACAAAGUCAAUUAUCGUUUGCUCGGGACUCGGAUUGCGAACAUGCUCGAGUUAAAGUCGAACGAUACGAUGUCCCAAGGAUUGUUGUGUUUCUUCUUUUCUUUCUCUUUCUUGCCUUAACGUUGGUUCUUAUACAAUUCGGGUGAUGGAAAAAGUCCGAAGAUGGUUGACCUUUUGUAUUUUGUAAAACGAUAUUCAACGACGAUUUCUUUCGAUCUUUUCUUCUUCUUCUUCUUCUUCGUCGUCUUCUUCUUUUUCUUUAUUUUCUUUCACGUUUGUUUUUAGAGACAUUUGGACUUUGGAAAAUGGUACUGGAAGGUCCAAGAAGGAUUUUCUUUGACGUAUCAUUGUAAUAAAGGAACUCCCAUUUUCAUAAUUGUAUCUGAACUGUUAAAAGAAUAUAACGAAAGUGUCGUACCAUUUUCUUUCGAAAUAUCAACUCGAAUAAUCGUUUUAAAAUAUUUGACAAAUUUAUAUUAAUGUUUAUGAUAUCUUAUAAUCGCGACAUAUUUGA